UACGAAGGGGGCUAGCGUUGCUCCGGAAUCACUGGGCGUAAAGCGCACGUAGGCGGAUUCUUAAGUCGGUGGUGAAAGCCUGGAGCUCAACUCCAGAACUGCCUUCGAUACUGAGAGUCUUGAGUCCGGGAGAGGUGAGUGGAACUGCGAGUGUAGAGGUGAAUUCGUAGAUAUUCGCAAGAACACCAGUGGCGAAGGCGGUUCUCUGGGACGGUACGUGACGCUGAGACGCGAAAGCGUGGGAGCGAACAGG
rnacentral:rRNA from 1 species